UUACGGCCACAACACGUUGAAACAUCGGUUCCCUUACGAUAGCCGAAGUUAAGCAUAGUCGAGACUGGCCAGUACCUAGAUGGGUGAUUGCUUGGGAAUGCUAGGUGG